GUUCACCGUGCCCACAGACUGUUGCCACGACGCCUCUCGCCGCAGGUGAACGAACUGCAGAACUUAACGAGCGCAGAAGUCAUCGUCCCCCGCGACCAAACGCCCGAUGAGAACGAGGAAGUUGUGGUGAAAAUCAUCGGGCAUUUCUUCGCCAGCCAGACUGCACAGCGCAAGAUCACGGAAAUCGUACAGCAGGUGAAGCGGCAGGAGCAGAAACACGCUCAGGGAGCCCCCUCCCUCCCGCGCAGCAAGUGAGGCGCCCGCGCCAGCCCGCAGCCACCGACGAAUGUAGCCCUUCCAACGCCUGCCAGGCCGCCAGCGUGGGGCGCCAACCAAAGACCUUCCUGAGGCAGAACGCUCUGCCCGGGGCUGGGCAGGGGAGGGCUCCCCCCCACUCACGCUGCCGUCGCCCCGCCGCAGGGGCCCUGCCGACUGACUCUUCCCAGCCACAACCUCCACGUUCCCCUCUCUACUAGCGCGAUGUGAUCCCUUUAGUUGGACUAACAUAGGCGGAGACGGGGCAGGCAGCCCCCCGGCAGCGCCCGCUCCCCGUGCCUGGGGCCACGCGGUAGCUGGGGGGAGUUUUUUGUUUUACAGUGCAUGACGUGGCAUUCGCACCGUUGACGAUACUUUAGACCGAAUAGCGCUGUAACCAAACUAACCCACUUUUCAUUUUGUAAAAGGUUAAGUUGUUUUUUUUUUUUAUUUACUUGUUUUUUGGAGCUUGUGGUUCUCCGACAAA